GACGCGUCAAACGAUAUUUUUUCCAUUCAUUUUUGAAUUUAGCACCCGCUAAAUUCGCUAUCUACGCAACAAAACCAUAGCUAUGAUCAUCAAACGUUUGCAUACAAUCAGUGUCCGACAUAUCCACUUUUACAAAAUACCGGAUUCAAUCAGCAAUUUUUAGGACACCAGUCACCAUUUGAUGCAAUUCCUGAAAUCCACCAUACAAAUGCUGCGGUUGUAAAUACGCAACAAAAUCCACAAUCUGCGACCAGUCAUGAAAAUCCUUAUCAAUCUUAUUAUCACCCACAAUAACAUCAGAUAUAUAACAUGAAAAAUGUCAUUUCGUAAAAUGUUUGGCCCAUUUCAUGUUAAAAGAUAAAAUAAAAUA